CUUAGACAUACACACAUACAUACACUAACAUACACACACACACUCACACAGAAUUCUUGAAUAUACCUGAGGGAACCAGCAGACUCCCAGUGCUGUUCCCCAUGUGCCUAGUACUGCAGAGGUGUGUCCCAGAUAGUCCCAUUAACACAACCCUGGGGGGAAGGGCUGGGGGGAAAUGCACAGUAAUUCACGAAGCAUGCUCCAGAAGGCAGGCCAUGGUGGGGAAACUCUGAAAUGCAUGCUGGACAGAGUCCCUUGAGUCCACUGAACUACCAUCUUCCUCCCCACCCCAAGGACCAGACACACAGGUAGAAAACACCGGCCAACCUCAUAAGCCAUAAGAAGAUGCACUUGUUCCAUCUGAUGGAGAUGGAACCUGGUAUCCUUUCAAUAUUUUAUUUAGUUUAAUGUCUUCUUUUAUUUUUGCAGCUCUGGGGAUGGAGCCCGGGGUCUUUCCUGUGUUGGAAAGUCCUCUCCCACUGAGGCCUGGGCCUUCUUUUAUCUUGAGACAGCACCAACUGGACUUGAACACACUUUCUCUGAAUUCCUGAACUUCCUACCUCUGGGACCUUCCAAACGCUGGGAGUAAGGAUGCCAACUGGAGGAGAAAGGAGAUGGCUUUCUCAAGUGUCUGAUGUCAAGAAUACUAACUGGCACAUAGCAUGUAUCUAAUAAACACCAAAACACCAGGUGAACUAACUGAGAGAUGAGCAAUGGUGGAAGGAAGCAUUUAUUCUAAGAUCCUUCUUUUCUUAAAGAAGAGCAACUGAUGUCCUGACCCGGAAGCAAAAGACAAUAGGAAGUGUUGUUACCAUGGCAACCACGGUUCCAAAAAUAAAUACCCUUUAAAGCUCUCAUCAGCUUGGAGGUUGUUGUGGGGGACUAACAGAUAUCUGAAGAUUGUACCCAGGGCCUCGGAUCAAAAGGCAGACAGAAUACUGCCCCUACUGUUAUCCUGCUUGCCAGGCAGCUAUCGACACUUACCAUCUGACUAUACCAAACGUGGUUUCUCUGAGUGAAGCCCACCUUUAAAAGAACUGUAUCCCUGGUGUCUGGAGGAUACAGACCAAACAAAGGGAACUAACAGACAAGCAAACUAACAGCACAGCUCACAUUUCCAUAAGUGGCAUAUGGGGAUAAUUAUUCCGAUUCAGAGAGCAGGCUUUGUCUAGAGAAUGAUUUACAUUCGGAUUCCAUGAAAAUCGAAUUUCCUGUUUGCUUUCAUCAUUUCAUUAUCCUUUAUUCCUGAAAUCCAUAUUCACCAAGCUCCAGCUCUGUUCCAUGCGAAAGGCUUCUUUGGUGUAUAAAGUAAAUUGCCUUUAGGGCUCAGACCCCGGGAAAGGACAUAAUGAGAACAGGUAACCCCACUUCACACAAGAUGCUUCAGCCACCCUAUAGGGAACACCGGAGUGAAGAAAUCCACCCUGGAGGAAGGACUAACUAUGCCAGAGGAGACAGUCUUAGUGGUCUAACUGGACAGCGUCAUGAGAGAAAUCCCAGCCAAAGGAAUGUCUACAAAGACUCAGAAGUUAAAGACUGUCUAAUUAGAUGGCCUGAAUGUGACCUUGGGUGGAGACAGAGGUCAGGGAGGGCAACACAUGACACAGAAAAGGAAAGAGAGGGAAAGUUCAGCCCAUUCUGCUGCUGAGACCAGGUUAAAGGGGAAGGGCUGGGAUGGACAAAGUGGAAACCAUACGUGAUGCUGGUGGUGAGAAUUCGGAGCUAAGGAACCUUCUCAGCCAAGGUAAGGAAUCUCCUGAUGAUGAAGGGCAGCAAUCCCCAGUGUAAGCAUGGAGAACUGGAGAAGUGAUGUGGAGAGAAAAGUGACGGGUUCAGAGAUGGACAGGCAAGCUGAGAAGAUCCCACAGGCAACCCUAGUUAGCUGGUGGGGCUAUGAGUCAAAACGUCUAUAAAACAGAGGGACUUUUAGAUAAAGGGAAGAAACUCAUGGCUAUAGUUUAACCGUCUGUUUCCCUCAAAGUCUGUGCUAAGUGUAUGUGUGUGUGGGGGACAGAGAGAGAAAAAGAGAGAGACAGAGACAGAGACAGAGAUGGUGGCAGUAUUAGGAGGUGGGGUCUUUGCAAAAAGAAGAUCUUGAAGGUUUGGCCUUCUGGGUAAGAUUAAUGUCAUCAAAGCAGGGUAUUGUUGCCUCCCCCCCACUUUCACUUCUCUACCUUCUACCGUGUAUGGAGGCAGCAUUCCUCUAGAGGACAAAGUUCAGAAGGCUAGAUCCUGGAUUUCUCAGGCUCCAGAACUCUGAGCAAACAAAUGUCUCUCUUUAUGAAUGACCCAUCCUCAGAUAUUCUGUUAUAGCCCUAUAAAAUGAGUUAAGAUUGUCAUUAUGGAAAGAAAUCAUUAAAGCCAGGAAUGAAUAAAUGGUACCGAAGUUAGUAUGCAUGCUUGAGAAGGAGAAGUGUGAGACAGAAGAGGGAGAAAGGCGAAGUAGUGAGAAGAAGCCAGAGCCUUACACGGGCCAUCCUGCAGUGGCAGAUGGGUAGCAUAGUCGCUGUGCUCUGAAAAUGAGGUUGACAUGUAGUUUUCCCAGAUCUCACCGACAGAUCAAAAAUGGCAGCUUAUAAAUAUUCAAAGCAACAGUAGACUACUAUUUCCACUUACAUUAACCAGAACAGCACACUCCAGGGCCCACAGAACGCCACAAACGCUUUUAUUUCAUUCAUUUUUUUUAAAUGAGAAAAAUAAAGAUACUGUCUGUUCCAAUCUCUGCUUUAAGAUUUAGCAUUUAUUUAGUGCACACACACAUACACACAAGCUAUAACAUACACAUGGAGGCCAAAGGAUAACAGUUGGAGUCAGUUGUCUGCUUCCAUUAUUUGUAGUCUGGGCACAGAACUUAAGUCACCAGGUUUGGUGGAAAGGGCCUCCCACUAAGCCAUCUGAACAGACCCCUUUUACAAUCUCACUGAGACUGAGGACAUUAAAUGACCUGCCCUGGACCACAGAGAGAACCAACCAAUCAACAGGACCAAAAAUCUCCAUUUCAUAUUGCCCCUGUUGGCCUCUAUGCUGGGGACUCAUGAUAGGAAAAACUCAUCUUCCUCGCCCCGUCAACGGAGGCUGCCC